rnacentral:ncRNA from 1 species
UGAAAGGCAAUGAUGGAGACAAGUAAAAAAAAUAUUCACCUACAGUGAGCUGGAGACAGUGUAAACCCAGUGGCAGAGUUUUUUUGAAUAACACUCCGUAGCUGCAAUCUGAAAUUUCUUUUUAAAAUACAAGCAUUAUGUUUGUUUUUGAUGAGAAAUAGUAGGUACGCCGUAUUCUAUACGUUACAUAGAUACCAGUACUUGCUGGAAAGAGAGACCUUUAUGGUAAAUUAGGUGGUACCGCGGAUAAGCCUCAAUUCGUCCUAUAU